AUGCCACCAGGGAGGUGGUUGAUGUCUCAAUCCCCUGAGCUGGGAUGUUUCGGGCUGAGCCACAGGGAUGCAGAGGAGGCUCCAGCCUUCAUUUCUUCUUCUUCAAAUGCAGGAUUUGGUGGAUGGGGACCUGCCCACACCACAACAUGUACAGGGGGUACCUCUCCCCAGCCCAGAUUUAGCUGCUUUUGCAGAAAAUUCAGCACCACCUCCACUAAAACAAAGCUCAGCCAGCUCUGGCCUUCCAGGAGUAUCCACUGGAGCUGGGGCUGCUGUGUACCUACUCUGCAAACCUUGCCCCAUGGGCAAAGCCUAGAUGACAUCAGGGACCCAGGGCUGAAGUGAUGCAGUAAGAAACCAGCAAUGAAGAUUUAAUAAAAGGAUUACAUGCUUGGCAAAGCCUGAAAAUAAUUGGAGACUAUCUGGAAAAAUAAAAAUAGAAAUUUGAAAUGUGGCA
rnacentral:lncRNA from 1 species